rnacentral:rRNA from 1 species
CAACAGGGAUUGCCCUAGUAACGGCGAGUGAAGCGGCAACAGCUCAAAUUUGAAAUCUGGCUUCGGCCCGAGUUGUAAUUUGCAGAGGAUGUUUCUGGCGCGGUGCCUUCCGAGUUCCCUGGAACGGGACGCCACAGAGGGUGAGAGCCCCGUAUGGUCGGACACCAAGCCUGUGUGAAACUCCUUCGACGAGUCGAGUAGUUUGGGAAUGCUGCUCUAAAUGGGAGGUAAAUCUCUUCUAAAGCUAAAUACCGGCCAGAGACCGAUAGCGCACAAGUAGAGUGAUCGAAAGAUGAAAAGCACCUUGAAAAGGGGGUUAAAUAGUACGUGAAAUUGUUGAAAGGGAAGCACUUAUGACCAGACUUGGGCCGGGCGGCUCAUCAGGGGUUCUCCCCUGUGCACUCCGCCCGGCACAGGCCAGCAUCGGUUUUCGCGGGGGGAUAAGACCGGCGGGAACGUAGCACCCUCCGGGGUGUGUUAUAGCCCACCGGACGAUACCCUCGCGGGGACCGAGGUCCGCGCUCCGCAAGGAUGCUGGCGUAAUGGUCAUCAGUGACCCGUCUUGAAACACGGACCAAGGAGUCGUCCAUUAGAGCGAGCGUUUGGGUGUAAAACCCGCACGCGUAAUGAAAGUGAACGCAGGUGAGAGCUUCGGCGCAUCAUCGACCGAUCCUGAUGUUCUCGGAAGGAUUUGAGUAAGAGUUUUAACGGACGGACCCGAAAGACAGUGAACUAUGCUUGAAUAGGGUGAAGCCAGAGGAAACUCUGGUGGAGGCUCGCAGCGGUUCUGACGUGCAAAUCGAUCGUCAAAUUUGAGCAUGGGGGCGAAAGACUAAUCG